UGAUAGGAGUGACAAGAGAGUUGAGAGAAGAGCGACCAUCGAGUAAGAUAGUGACAAUAACAAGCUUCUCAGUGAUUAAAGGCAGAGGAGAACCCUAUGAAUCCUCUGUUUUUGAGGCUGCUGGUUACAAAUGGUAAAGAUCUUACACUUUAUCAACUUUUUUUAUAAAAUAAUUAAUUCUAUUUUUUUUGAUA
rnacentral:sRNA from 1 species